rnacentral:tRNA from 1 species
GGCCGCUUAGCUCAGCGGUAGAGCACUGCAUUCACAUUGCAGGGGUCAUUGGUUCGAGUCCAGUAACGCCCACCA